ACUCCUACGGGAGGCAGCAGUGGGGAAUAUUGCACAAUGGGGGAAACCCUGAUGCAGCCAUGCCGCGUGUGUGAAGAAGGCCUUGGGUUGUAAAGCACUUUCAGUAGGGAGGAAGGUAGUGUAGUUAACACCUGCAUUAUUUGUACGUUACCUACAGAAGAAGCACCGGCUAACUCCGUGCCAGCAGCCGCGGUAAGUACGGAGGGUGCGAGCGUUAAUCGGAAUUACGUGGGCGUAAAGCGCAUGCAGGCGGCCUGUUAAGUCAGAUGUGAAACGCCCGGGGUCUUAACCUCGGAAUUGCAUUUGAAACUGGCAGGCUAGAGUCUUGUAGAGGGGUUAGAAUUUCAGGUGUAGCGGUGAAAUGCGUAGAGAUC
rnacentral:rRNA from 1 species